CUGGUAGUUAAAGAUCGACCCCUGACCUAACCGGUUAUGUUAUCUAUAGAUUCCAGAUAUUGUAUAGAAAAGACAUUGUGAAACUUCCUGGCCUGUUCUGUUUCACUGUGACCACUGGUGCAUGCAGCCCUUGUCACGUACCUCCUGCUUGCUCAAUCGAUCAUGACCCUCUCAUGUGGACCCCCUUAGAGUUGUGAGCCCUUAAAAGGGACAGGAAUUGCUCACUCAGGGAGCUCAGCUCUUGAGACAGAAGUCUUGCUCAAUGCUCCUGGCUGAAUAAACCAUUUCCUUCUUUAACUCAGUGUCUGAGGAGUUUUGUCUGCGGCUCGUCCUGCUACAUUUCUUGGUUCCCUGACCGGGAAGCGAGGUGAUUGGCAGAUGGUCGAGGCAGCUCCUUAGGCGGCUAAAGCCUGCCCUGUGGAACAUCCCUGCAGGGGACUCUGACCAGCCUGAGCGACGUGGAUCCUGAGAGCGCUUCUGGGUAGGCAUUUGCCCCAGUGGGAUGCCUCACCAGAGCAGUGUGUGGAAGGCCCCCAUGGAGUCUCAACACGGUGGCUGAACACCGGGAAGGAACUGGUAUUUGGAGUCCGGACAUCUGAAACUUGAGGAAAUGAUGCCACACCAGUUCAGGAUUUACCCUUUAAAAGGAUUGGCAGCUUUCAGCUCAGUCUCUUGGAGCCCUGAGCUGUCUUAGAAGAAGGCUGACUAUUCCUAUGGGAGAGACCACACAGAAACUAAAAAUACUUGGAAGAGGAGAGGGGCUCAGUUGAGCCCAACCUUCCAGCCAACUCCAGCAGGGUGGCAAGUAUGAGAGUGAGGAUAUCUUGGAGCCUCAGCAACCUGUGCUAUCCAAUAGCUAUCAGCCACAUGUGACUACUGAGCACUCAAAAUGUGGAGCAUCCUGCAUGAUUCUAUAGCACUCAACAGGUGUCUGCCAAGCGGACAGACUACAGACCCCUCUGGCCGCAUGAUGCUGAGCUUCCCCUUGGACACAUGAAGAUUAAGUUAGUCAAGCAUGGAGAUUCCUCCCUCUCCUUCACAAACUCCAGAUGUUUGGCAUCUCCCCAAUAUCCUAAGACCUCCUGGACUGGGAACAAAAUGAGCGUAGUGAAAGAGGAAGCAGCUUUAGAGAAAGCACCACAGGGAACAAACCAAUAAAAAAGCAGGAAACUCAGCACAAGCCUGAUUUAUGUCACUGCACUUCUCUACUCUCAGCCCCAUUCCCCCAAACUCCCAGCAAGCACACAAGCACACACAGGCACACACAUGCACAUGCGCACACACACAUGCACAUACACAACACACACACACACACAUGCCUUCUGCCAGCAGCUCUCUUUCUCACUCUCACUUUUCUUUUCAAAUGCUGGCAUUUGAAAAAAUCCCCUAUUUUGUUUCACCCUCCUUUUCUGCCUCCCUAAAGAGCUUCCGAAGAGGAGUUUUGAUGGUGCAUCUGAGUGUUAAUAGAUUCGGGAGUGUGAAGCUGUUGCCUGAAUCUCAUUCCCUGAGAGUGCCUUUCUCUUUUUAAUAGCUGAGAAAGAAUUGAUCAAGCCUCUGUUUUAGUCUCUGUUUCUAAACAGAAAGAAAGAAAGAAAAAGGAAGGAAGGAAACAAGGAAGGAAGGACAUACAACGUAAAAACAAAAACAUUUUUACGACGAUCCCUUUUUCAACAGCUAGGGGCAAUCCAGUGUGUUCAGUUGUGUUAGUUCUGUGUCUGUCAGGAGAAAAAGCCAUGUAGAAGUGAUGAUUUAGUUUUCUUGGUGGGAACACAAGGGAAGCUAGUUGAAAGCAAUGGUUGUGGGGUCUUGAAUGGACAGGCAAGUCCGGUAGUCAGAAGAAGAUUUUGAUUAGAAACAGAGGAAUUUCUUCCAGGAAAAUACAUUGUCUUCAUGACAAACCAAAAAUACACCAAAUGUUCUGAAAACUGCCCUUUAAAAAGAAAGAACAGAUUGUUCAAUUGAAACACUUUCCUGAAGCCAAUUGUUGCAGGCUGCCAGCCACCUUCAGUACCAGCCACCCCUCCGUCCUCCCCAGGGCCGGUAUAAGGGGUGCAUGAGAGACACGUGCAUGCAGAAGACUCCACCAUGAUGCCUGGCUCCCAUUGCACUGUCCCAGAGCGGCGUAGUGGCAGCUGGGGUUAGUGCUAUCUGUCAUGAAAGGGCAUUCUACUCCGGUUGGCAGAGAACACUCACACACGGGGAAGCUGAGCCAUCAGUGCAGGAGUUAAUUCCCGUUUGCAAUAAUACUAAGGAUGUCGCAUUCAUAUAUACUCAAUGAGCACUAAAGGAAUCAUAGGAAUAUGCUCUCACAGGAGAUAAUGUAGCCACAGUAGAUAAAGGAGGAUGUCCUGGAAGAAGGGGAACCUUUUUUAAGCCAAGGGAGAAAACCACUGAAAAGUAAAUCUUUGCAUGUAGCUGUGCAGCUCUGCAGAUCUAAAAUCUGUGCUUUUUAAAAGUAUACUCUGUGGAGUAGCAGUCCACAUCAAAAGGUCACAGUUUAAAAGUUUUGUAUUGUGCUUGGGUUAUCCCUUAAGAUGUUAGUUAUAUCAUCACAAAAGAACAAGAGUAAACUGUAAUUUACUAUUUUUGGAGUAUUUUUUUGUUGUUAGGCAUUUGAAGGAUGAGGUGCACAGUGCCCAAGAGUAUGUCACAGCGGCAAUUUCCACUUUAUGCAGAAUUAAUACUCAAUUACUUAUCUGCUUACCUGGACCUUGAGUGAAUAAUAGAUUCCUAAUAAAGGGUUUUUGAGCAAAUGGACAAAUUGGAUGCAUUUAUGUUAUAGCAGCCACAACAGCAAAAGAAAAUCAAACACUUACAAAACAGAAGUCAAUCAAGUUUUAACUAGAGGAGACACCAAAGUAUCAUACAGUGGAGGAAAAAUUCAAAUGUUCUGCGCCAAGCUCCUAUCAUGCCAAUUGUACAUGUUUGUGCGUAUGUAGGGUAGCUAGGGUUGGAUGUGUAAUCAUCCCUAAAAUUCAUUUGGUGAAGAAAAAUACAUUUUAUUUGAAAUCAUUGUCUAUUUUUAUUCCUGCCAAUAUUUUGUAUAACAUAGAAGUCUGCCCCAGAGUGUAAAUAAAUAAUGAGGAAGGUCACAGAUCUAAAUAUACUAUCUUGGUUCAAUAAUAAAAAGAGA
rnacentral:lncRNA from 1 species